CAUACGACCGUACCGCAAACCGACACUGGUGCGCGAGAUGAGUAUUCUAAGGCGCUUGAGAGAACUCAGGAGAAGGAACUCGGCAAAUUGACACCGUAACUUCGGAAGAAGGUGUGCCCUAUUAGUGUGUAGUGAACAACGAAGCAUGAAUGGGUUGCAAAAAAUCGGUGGCUGCGACUGUUUAUUAAAAACACAGCACUCUGCAAACACGAAAGUGGACGUAUAGGGUGUGACGCCUGCCCGGUGCUGGAAGAUUAAAUGAUGGGGUGCAAGCUCUUGAUUGAAGUCCCAGUAAACGGCGGCCGUAACUAUAACGGUCCUAAGGUAGCGAAAUUCCUUGUCGGGUAAGUUCCGACCUGCACGAAUGGCGUAACGAUGGCCACACUGUCUCCUCCUGAGACUCAGCGAAGUUGAAAUGUUUGUGAUGAUGCAAUCUCCCCGCGGAAAGACGGAAAGACCCCAUGAACCUUUACUGUAGCUUUGUAUUGGACUUUGAACAGAUCUGUGUAGGAUAGGUGGGAGGCUUUGAAGCAGGGUCGCUAGAUCUUGUGGAGCCAACGUUGAAAUACCACCCUGGUGUGUUUGAGGUUCUAACCUAGGUCCAUUAUCUGGAUCGGGGACAGUGCAUGGUAGGCAGUUUGACUGGGGCGGUCUCCUCCCAAAGCGUAACGGAGGAGUUCGAAGGUACGCUAGUUACGGUCGGACAUCGUGACGAUAGUGCAAUGGCAUAAGCGUGCUUAACUGCGAGACUGACAAGUCGAGCAGAUGCGAAAGCAGGACAUAGUGAUCCGGUGGUUCUGUAUGGAAGGGCCAUCGCUCAACGGAUAAAAGGUACUCUGGGGAUAACAGGCUGAUACCGCCCAAGAGUUCAUAUCGACGGCGGUGUUUGGCACCUCGAUGUCGGCUCAUCUCAUCCUGGGGCUGUAGCCGGUCCCAAGGGUAUGGCUGUUCGCCAUUUAAAGAGGUACGUGAGCUGGGUUUAAAACGUCGUGAGACAGUUUGGUCCCUAUCUUCCGUGGGCGCUGCAGAUUUGAGGAAGCCUGCUCCUAGUACGAGAGGACCGGAGUGGACACACCUCUGGUGUAUCGGUUGUCACGCCAGUGGCAUUGCCGAGUAGCUAAGUGUGGAAGAGAUAACCGCUGAAAGCAUCUAAGCGGGAAACUCGUUUCGAGAUGAGAUCUGCCGGGGCCUUGAGCCCCCUAAAGAGUCGUUCAAGACCAGGACGUUGAUAGGUCAGGUGUGGAAGCG
rnacentral:rRNA from 1 species